CAACGAUAUGUCUACUGUCCCAUAGCUGUGUUCCCGUUACUGGUAAUCAUGUUACAGCCAAACGAAAACACCCUCUCCGCCCCUUCGCCCCGCACUCUCUUCUACAAUCUCCCCUGAUACACCCUGGAUUGCUGAUGUAUUGUCCAACAGGAGUGCAUCCCUCAGGCCAUCCGGUGCAUGGACAUCCUGUUCCAGUGCGAUGCGAGGGUGACCGUCCAGUUGUAGAGAUGACAGCAGAUCGAGCCUGAGGACGGACAGGGCCUCCCACACCUCUCCAAAGUGGCCCUCCCCCAGCUUCAUGUGCAGUUUAAACUCCUCCCGAGGACGCUCCCAAGGCUCCAUGUCAAACAGCUCUCUCUGAGGACACCACAACACUGUUAGACACACAGAACUCACAGCUACCGAG